rnacentral:rRNA from 1 species
CCUACGGGGGACAGCAGUCGAGAAUCAUUCACAAUGGGGGAAACCCUGAUGGUGCGACGCCGCGUGGGGGAAUGAAGGUCUUCGGAUUGUAAACCCCUGUCAUGUGGGAGCAAAUUAAAAAGAUGGUACCACACGAGGAAGAGACUGCUAACUCUGUGCCAGCAGCCGCGGUAAUACAGAGGUCUCAAGCGUUGUUCGGAAUCACUGGGCGUAAAGCGUGCGUAGGCUGUUUCGUAAGUCGUGUGUGAAAGGCGCGGGCUCAACCCGCGGACGGCACAUGAUACUGCGAGACUAGAGUAAUGGAGGGGGAACCGGAAUUCUCGGUGUAGCAGUGAAAUGCGUAGAUAUCGAGAGGAACACUCGUGGCGAAGGCGGGUUCCUGGACAUUAACUGACGCUGAGGCACGAAGGCCAGGGGAGCGAAAGGGAUUAGAUACCCCAGUAGUC